rnacentral:snRNA from 1 species
ACCGGGCCUAAGUUCCCUGGAAAG